rnacentral:misc_RNA from 1 species
AAGUCGUAACAAGGUUUCCGUAGGUGAACCUGCGGGAAGGGAAUUUUAACCUAGGAGUUGUAGCUUUGCCUGUCCAUGAUCUCUUACCCAGUGUCGUUUUGAGUACCUUCGUUUCCUCGGCGGGUUCGCCCGCCGAUUGGACAAUUUAAACCAUUUGCAGUUGCAAUCAGCGUCUGAAAAAACAUAAUAGUUACAA